rnacentral:rRNA from 1 species
AUUGAACGCUGGCGGCAUGCUUUACACAUGCAAGUCGAACGGCAGCGCGGGCUUCGGCCUGGCGGCGAGUGGCGAACGGGUGAGUAAUAUAUCGGAACGUACCCAAGAGUGGGGGAUAACGUAGCGAAAGUUACGCUAAUACCGCAUACGAUCUAAGGAUGAAAGCAGGGGAUCGCAAGACCUUGUGCUCCUGGAGCGGCCGAUAUCUGAUUAGCUAGUUGGUGAGGUAAAGGCCUACCAAGGCAUCGAUCAGUAGCUGGUCUGAGAGGACGACCAGCCACACUGGACUGAGACACGGCCCAGACUCCUACGGGAGGCAGCAGUGGGGAAUUUUGGACAAUGGGCGCAAGCCUGAUCCAGCAAUGCCGCGUGAGUGAAGAAGGCCUCGG